GUAUCCACAAGCUCCAUUAAUUUUCCUGUAAGUGAUCCAACAUUCCAAGUACCAACCCUGAUCCUCCUCCUAUCUUGCUCCUUCCUAAUUGGUCUCCUUCUAUGAUAUCUUCUAUCGUUUUCUAUGUCUAUCUUGUGUUCUGUUCCACUAUUUGUUCUACUAUCUGUCCUAUGGACUAACUUCUUUACCCACACCCGUCCAUGAUGUGGGAACCCUUGCUCACUUAACACCACACCCGGGCGCCGGCAUGGCGCGUCGCUUUCGGUGAACGCCCUACACCCUUGCAUAUUUAUCACUACACCCGGGCUCCGAUGUAGCGCGUCGUUAGUAGAGGACGCCCUAACGUUUAUAUUAUUUGAAUCCAUAUCAUAGGGUGUGACGAAAUUUUUACGCUGGUUGUCACCUACCGCAACCCUCCUCUUU
rnacentral:misc_RNA from 1 species